CGAGUAGUGCACCAUAAUCUACAAGUCAAUGCCAUUCAUUGGCUGACUGAGAGCUUUUGCCAAUGUCUUCUUGUGGCAGAUGGCUGGAAGAUGAUAAAGUCAAAGUUCAUCUUCUCUGUAUGAAACAAGCUAAAAACUACUGCAGGUUUAAUAUUUUGUGGUGGUUAGAAGAGUUAUUGAUGAAUGUCCUGAGAGCACUUGUUCUCUUUGCUUUAGAGAGUUCAACACCAAAAGCCUCACAUGCUCUGACACACUUCAUGUGGCUGAGGACCCUCACUUCUCCGCGUUAAACUCCUGGUUUCAGCACAAGCUAGAACCCUAGAAAAGCUUCUGAAGGAUUCUCCCACCUUUUCUUCAUCUUGGUCUUCUUUUCACACAGCUUUCAAGUAAAGAUAUGUCGCUGGCCCAAAGUUCAAUUAAGAUGUGGCAACUUGAUGAAGCAUAGUUCACUGAGUGUUGGUAAGUUGGGGGAAGCUUUCUGGCAUUGGGUCGUCCAAGACGAGAUCGAAGUGCCCCGCAAAACAAUCAGUCAUGUUGCUCUGCUCCAACUGAAAUAAGAUUCAGCAGAGAGCGAAUUUAAUGUGUCUCUCCUGAGUUCUUGCCCUCUUGAUGUGGCUACUUGGUGAAGCAUUAGUUCACUGAAUGUUUGAAACCUCGGGGGGAAGCUUUCUGACAUCAGAUGAUAGAAGACAAAUCGAAGUGCCCUGCAAAACAAUCAUAGACAUGUCGCUCUGCUGUAACUGAAACAAGAUUAAGAAGACAGUGGUUUGAUAUAUAUGGAACAAAGUGUGUCAAAGCAAAUGCAGAUCAAUAUGUAAUGCUUUUUCAGAGACAUACAACAUCAAACAGACGCAUUCGGUCAUGAAAUGAGUCUUUUGUCUUGCAAGGUGUAAAUUCUAUUCAUUUUGGCAUCAAUUCAUGAACCAUUUAGCCUGAAAAUUGUUGCUGUUUGGCCAGCUGUGCCAUCUGCUCAACUUCCUUUCAAUAGUUCAUGAGUUGUGUCUAACGAGGGAUAAUAAUACAUGCAUGACACAGUAUGGCACCAGUGGGACCUGAAGAACCUAAUUGUCAAAUGAUGGCAUCAUUCUAACAACUUAGUGGAUCCACCAUCAUUUGGCCUCGGGCAGGAUUCGACUGAUUCUAUGUAAUGCACAUCAAAGAAGAAAAAAGAAGAGGAUAUGAAAUGAAGUUAUAAUGGAGGUGGUUGACCUUUCCUUUUCACCAACUUUAAGACUAGAGGCCAAUAAUAUCUUAACCUAGACUAAGUUUUCCCUGCAAUUUGAUCUUACUUGACUUGACUAUAUCUGUACUUGCAGCAAAUUUGCAGAUAGCACAUAGGCUAUUUACGUGGAGGUUCAAAUUUCAAAAUCAAGAAUCUCCCUGUAAAUACGAAAGAUUGGAAAUCAUAGUAUUACACUAGUCUAGUUACAUUCUCUAAGACCAAGCUCAUUCAACUAGAUGUUUGAGCUUACUAGAGAUAAUCUGUUUGGAGAUACCUGUCUUCAUGGAUGAUCACUGAAGCAUCACAAGCCAGCUUAAAUAAUCAGAUGAAAAGAUUUAAUGUGCCUAGACCGUUGUGCUAAACAUGUUAAGGCACCUGAUAAAUAAACAAGACAAAAGAUUUAGGAUAUGAGAGGAAAAGAAAAUUCAUUUCUCUCUGCAUGGUUUAGAUGGGCAUGAGGAAUAAGUAGAAAGAAAUAAGGGCCCUUAAAAAAUCUUCAUGGCACUACUUUUCAUGUCAAUGAUCCACAAGAUGAGCUUAAAGAUGAAACUGACUUUUAGAUGUUUGUGUAUGUCUGAUAGCACCUCACAUCACAAUGUACAUUAAAAUCCUUUGCAUUGACUACUCCAGGCCCCCUGUUACAAGAAAG
rnacentral:lncRNA from 1 species